ensembl:snRNA U6 U6 spliceosomal RNA
AUGCUCACUUUGGCAGCACAUAUACUAAAAUUAGAAAGAUACAGAGAAGAUUAGCAUGGCUCCUGUGCAAGGAUGACAUUUGAAACUCUAGAUGUAAAUGAUUUUACU